UGCCGUUCGAGCCCCCUAUGAAAGGUAAAUUCUGCCCAGUGAAAGCUUAAACGGCCGCGGUACCCUGACCGUGCAAAGGUAGCAUAAUAGCUCGUCUUUUAAUUAAAGACUUGUAUGAACGAAUAAACGAGAGGGUAGCUGUCUCUAAAGCACCCAUGAAAUUUAACCUGUAUGUGAAAAGGCAUACAUCUUCCUAAAAGACAAGAAGACCCUGUCGAGCUUAAUUGUAAUUAACCGGCAAAAAAAAUAAUUUACCAUUACCGAAAACCAUCUCAAUUUAGUUGGGGCAACAAGGGAACAAAUAAACCUUCCCGCAACACACCUUCAUACCCACACAGACCCCCCACAGGGAGUAAAAGAUAAAAGCUACCGCAGGGAUAACAGGUUAAUUUUUCUCGAGAGUACACAUUGACAGAAAAGAUUUACACCUCGAUGUUGGCUUGGGCUAACCCCCUAGUGCAGAAGCUAGUAAAGGCAGGUUUGUUCACCCUAAAAAAGCCCACAUGAGCUG
rnacentral:rRNA from 1 species